AAACAUGUCUUUUUGAGUUAAUUUUAAAGUCUAGCCUGCCCACUGAAUAAUUUUUAAAUGGCCGCAGUAUUUUGACUGUGCAAAGGUAGCAUAAUCAUUAGUCUUUUAAUUGAAGGCUGGUAUGAAUGGUUGGACGAAGUAUAAGCUGUUUCAUAUAAAUUUAUUGUAGAAUUUUAUAUUUUAGUAAAAAAGCUAAAAUUUUAUUAAAAGACGAGAAGACCCUAUAAAUCUUUAUAUUUAAUUUUAUUUUAAUUUUUUAGAUUUAUUUUAUUUUAAUAACAUUAAGUAUUUUGUUGGGGUGAUAUUAAAAUUUAAUUAACUUUUAAUUAUGAAAAAUCAUUAAUUUAUGAUUAAUUGAUCCAAUAAUAUUGAUUAUAAGAUUAAGUUACUUUAGGGAUAACAGCGUAAUUUUUUUUAAGAGUUCAUAUCGACAAAAAAGUUUGCGACCUCGAUGUUGGAUUAAGGUAUAAUUUUGGGUGUAGCUGUUCAAAUGUUAAGUCUGUUCGACUUUUAAAUCCUUACAUGAUC
rnacentral:rRNA from 1 species